AGAGUUUGAUCCUGGCUCAGGACGAACGCUGGCGGCGUGCCUAACACAUGCAAGUCGCACGACGGGUGCCGUGACGCUUCCGAUCGGACCCUCCGACGCUCCAACGCCUUCGGGCCGCGGAGCCGACGAGGCGACGUGACGAAGCCGAUCGGACUUACACCCGGAGUGGCGGACGGGUGAGUAACGCGUGACCAACCAACCUCAAGGUGGGGCAUAACCAUCCGAAAGGAUGGCUAAUUCCUCAUGCUGGCUGCGAGACGGCAGGUCUCGUAAUGAAAGGCCCUUCGGGGUCGCCUUGAGACGGGGUCGCGUCCCAUUAGCUGGCUGGUGAGGUAACGGCUCACCAGGGCAAUGAUGGGUAGCUGGUCUGAGAGGAUGAUCAGCCACACUGGGACUGAGACACGGCCCAGACUCCUACGGGAGGCUGCAGUGGGGAAUCUUGCACAAUGAGCGAAAGCUUGAUGCAGCGACGCCGCGUGGGGGACGACGGCCCUCGGGUUGUAAACCCCUACCCAUCGGGAGGAAUAAGGAUGUCAGGCAAUGGGCAUCCGAUGACGUUACCGAUGAUAGUAGCUCCGGCUAACUACGUGCCAGCAGCCGCGGUAAUACGUAGGGAGCAAGCGUUGUCCGGAAUCACUGGGCGUAAAGGGUGCGCAGGCGGACGUGCAGGUCUGACGUGAAAGCCCCGGGCUCAACCUGGGAGGUGCGUCGGAAACCGCAUGUCUUGAGGGCCAGAGAGGCCGGUGGAAUUCGCGGUGGAGCGGUGAAAUGCGUAGAUAUCGCGAGGAACACCCGUGGCGAAGGCGACCGGCUGGAUGGACCCUGACGCUGAGGCACGAAAGCGUGGGUAGCAAACGGGAUUAGAUACCCCGGUAGUCCACGCCCUAAACGAUGGGCAUUAGGUGUAGGCGAUACAGCUCGCCUGUGCCGAAGCUAACGCAUUAAAUGCCCCGCCUGGGAAUUACGGCCGCAAGGCUGAAACUCAAAGGAAUUGACGGGGGCCCGCACAAGCGGUGGAGCACGUGGUUUAAUUGGAUGCAAAGCCAAGAACCUUACCAGGCCUUGACAUGUCGGCCAGUAGGCCGUCUGAAAGGAUGGCCGAGUCCUGCCUAGCAGGACAACCGUCACAGGUGGUGCAUGGCUGUCGUCAGCUCGUGCCGUGAGGUGUUGGGUUAAGUCCCGCAACGAGCGAAACCCCUAUCCUUAGUUGCCAGCAUUGAGUUGGGGACUCUAAGGACACUGCCCGGGAGAACCGGGAGGAAGGUGGGGAUGACGUCAAGUCCCUAUGCCCCUUAUGGCCUGGGCGACACACGUGCUACAAUGGCCGGUACAGAGGGUAGCCACACCGCAAGGUGAAGCGAAUCCCUUAAAACCGGUCUCAGUUCGGAUUGGGGAUUGCAACUCAUCCCCAUGAAGGCGGAAUCGCUAGUAAUCGCGGAUCAGCCAUGCCGCGGUGAAUACGUUCCCGGGCCUUGUACACACCGCCCGUCACACCACAAAAGUCGGCAAUACCCGAAGUCAGCCACCCGUUAGGGAGCUGCCGAAGGUAGGGCCGGCGAUUGGGGUGAAGUCGUAACAAGGUAACCGUA
rnacentral:rRNA from 1 species